GAGGGUAUAGCUCAGUGGUAGAGUGCAUGCUUAGCAUGCACGAAGUCCUGGGUUCAAACUCCAGUACCUUUG
rnacentral:tRNA from 1 species